GAAAGCCUCAUUCGUUUUCGGUAACGAACCGAACCGAAUGCGUGUGAAGCGUCUAAGCCUCACUGUGCAGAAUAAGCCUCGUCGACAGAGUGGUGGUCAUGGUGUGGGUCUGUCUACCCGCUAACUUUUCAGGGUCUUCUUCAACUUGUCCUCUUUCUAUGCUUCGUACAGUAGCUGCAACCUUGUUCAAUAUUCUUUUGCUCAAUAAUUCAGGCCUAUUCCUGGCCAAGGUUGAAGUCACUUCCACUACAUGGAUCAAUUUUGCUUGUAGAUCUUUUUAUAGUGAUGAGUUUCUUCAUUUAUUGUGAACAUUUGUGGUUUCCAUUCCACCAUUAAGGCUGAUUCCAGGAUAAACAUUGCAGGCAGAGUCAAAAUGAGGCCACAAAGAUGAUUACGAACAAGCGCAGCUAUCUUUGGAGAGGUAAUGCACCUACUGAUAUCCCGUGAUAAGAACUUGGGAGAGAUUUAGUGAAAACCUGGAGAACGGCCACUUAGCUCACAAAUCUGAGCUGUUCACAUCAAGCUGAUAUUUGUGACAGCCAUUAUAGCUUUAAUCAUUUUCUCGAUUGAUCAAAGCACCACAGACUGCAUCGUUCGUCACCUCUGCCUUUAAGCGCGUUAUCACCUACUCCAAUAAGCCACCCCAAUAUCCUUAAUAAGCAAUAGAAGUUCUUAUCGACUGUGUAUGACUCAUUAAUAUCCAUGUUCUGUAUAAAUUUAUGUGAUAGGCCUACUGGUAUUAAUGUUGAUGUACCGUAAUGUUUUUUGCUCAUGUAUAAUUGAUAAUAAUACAUUAAAAAUAAAUAUA